UUGACCUCAAAUCAGGUAGGACUACCCGCUGAACUUAAGCAUAUCAAUAAGCGGAGGAAAAGAAACUAACAAGGAUUCCCCUAGUAACUGCGAGUGAAGCGGGAAGAGCUCAAAUUUGAAAUCUGGCAGCUCUUUGAUCUGUCCGAGUUGUAAUCUAGAGAAGUGUUACCUGUGUUGGACCGUGUUCAAGUCUCCUGGGAUGGAGCGUCAUAGAGGGUGAGAAUCCCGUCUUUGACACGGACUACCUGCACGUUAUGGUGCGCUCUCAAAGAGUCGAGUUGUUUGGGAAUGCAGCUCAAAAUGGGUGGUAAAUGCCAUCUAAAGCUAAAUAUUGGCGAGAGACCGAUAGCGAACAAGUACCGUGAGGGAAAGAUGAAAAGAACUUUGGAAAGAGAGUUAAACAGUACGUGAAAUUGCUGAAAGGGAAACGCUUGAAGUCAGUCGCGUCGGCUAGAAAUCAACCUUGCUUUUGCUUGGUGUACUUUCUUGUUGAUGGGUCAGCAUCAAUUUUGACCGUUGGAUAAAGUCUUUGGGAAUGUGGCAUCUUAGGAUGUGUUAUAGCCCAUUGUCGCAUACGGCGGUUGGGAUUGAGGAACUCAGCACGCCCGCAAGGGACGGGUUUCGACCACGUUCGUGCUUAGGAUGCUGGCAUAAUGGCUUUAAUCGACCCGUC
rnacentral:rRNA from 1 species